AGCAGUCGCCGCGGGAAUACGUAGGGUGCAAGCGUUAAUCGGAAUUACUGGGCGUAAAGCGUGCGCAGGCGGUUAUAUAAGUCAGAUGUGAAAUCCCCGGGCUCAACCUGGGAACUGCAUUUGAGACUGUAUGGCUAGAGUGUGUCAGAGGGAGGUAGAAUUCCACGUGUAGCAGUGAAAUGCGUAGAUAUGCGGAGGAAUACCGAUGGCGAAGGCAGCCCCCUGGGAUAACACUGACGCUCAUGCACGAAAGCGUGGGGAGCAAACAGGAUUAGAUACCCCUGUAGUCCCUGUCUCUUAUAC
rnacentral:rRNA from 1 species